rnacentral:rRNA from 1 species
CACGAGCGCAACCCCUAUUGAUAGUUGCCAACAGGUAAUGCUGGGAACUCUAUCAAGACUGCCGUUGAUAAAACGGAGGAAGGUGGGGACGAUGUCAAGUCAUCAUGGCCUUUAUGUUCAGGGCUACACACGUGCUACAAUGGUUGGUACAAAACGUCGCAAUCUCGUAAGAGUGAGCUAAUCGCAUAAAACCAAUCUCAGUUCGGAUUGAAGUCUGCAACUCGACUUCAUGAAGUUGGAAUCGCUAGUAAUCGCGGAUCAGCAUGCCGCGGUGAAUACGUUCCCGGGUCUUGCACACACCGCCCGU